rnacentral:lncRNA from 1 species
GGCUCUCAGCGGGUCCCAGCUGACGGAAGGUGGGGGAGGAGUGCGAGGGUCUCUGAGACAGGUUGGGAGCCAGCCCCACCUCCAUUUCCAAAGCGGGGGUCCAGGCACAGGAACAGCCAAACGCCCGAACCAGCGGGGUUACCUUUGCCACUUCAUCCAAUCCGAGCAUCGGCUGGAAACUGGGAAGUUUGUCAGACAAAGCUCUUCAGGUUACUGGCAAUUUAUGUGCUGGGAGGUGGAUUUGUGGGCAGAGCUCCGGCUGACCUGGUGUUGUCCUGCUAUGGCUACAGACUUCUGACUAUGCUUAUCAGAAAAACUUUCAUUUGGUUCAAGGAUUUUUGCUGACAAGUUUAUUUAAUCCCUGAACCUGGAUCCAAGGCAUCUCCCUGUAGAAAACAUCAGACCGGGGCAGAGAUUGACAAAGCAACCCAAAGCAGCAGCUGCCAACGGCCGCUGUGCCCACCUCAUCAGCAGCUAAAGAGUAUAAUUUUAAAAAAAGUCACAGAAGAAUGUGGAGACACUUAGCAAAACGGACUCUCAUAAGGUUCCCUAUUUUGUCAGUAAGGAAGUAAACAACCGCUAAAACAACCCUCUAACAACAGAAGACCCUCAUGAGAACACCAGGCAGCAGAAGCUUCUUUAGCAGUAAAAGAUAUCUGGAUAUUCAUAUUUUGUUCCAUGAUCUUCAACAUUAAAUAAAUAAACUUAAUAUUCAAGUCUC